UACGUAGGGGCCUAGCGUUGUCCGGAUUUAUUGGGCGUAAAGAGCUCGUAGGCGGUUCGGCAAGUCAGCUGUGAAAUCUCCACGCUUAACGUGGAGGGGUCAGCUGAUACUGCCGUGACUCGAGUCCGGUAGGGGAGUGUGGAAUUCCCGGUGUAGCGGUGAAAUGCGCAGAUAUCAGGAGGAACACCGGUGGCGAAGGCGGAUCUCUGGGCCGAUACUGACGCUGAGGAGCGAAAGCGUGGGGAGCGAACAGG
rnacentral:rRNA from 1 species